rnacentral:rRNA from 1 species
GACGAAGGUGGCUAGCGUUGCUCGGAUUUACUGGGCAUAAAGCGCGCGUAGGUGGUCGUGUAAGCGGGGGAUGAAAGCCCAUGGCUCACCCAUGGAACUGUCCCCCGGACUGCACGGCUCGAGGAAGGAAGGGGAGAAUGGAAUUCCCGGUGUAGCGGUGAAAUGCGUAGAUAUCGGGAGGAACGCCGGUGGCGAAAGCGAUUCUCUGGUCCUUUCCUGACACUGAGGCGCGAAAGCUAGGGGAGCAAACGGG